AUUGAACGCUGGAGGCAGGCCUAACACCUGCAAGUCGAACGAGUGGCGGACGGGUGAGUAAUGUCUGGGAAACUGCCCGAUGGAGGGGGAUAACUACUGGAAACGGUAGAUAAUACCGCAUACCAUCGGAUGUGCCCAAAUGGGAUUAGCUAGUAGGUGGGGUAACGGCUCAACUAGGCGACGAUCCCUAGCUGGUCUGAGAGGAUGACCAGCCACACUGGAACUGAGACACGGUCCAGACGCCUACGGGAGGCAGCAGUGGGGAAUAUUGCAAAAUGGGCGCUAGCCUGAUGCAGCCAUGCCGCGUGUAUGAAGAAGGCCUUCGGGUUGUAAAGUACUUUCAGCGGGGAGGCGUUACCCGCAGAAGAAGCACCGGCUAACUCCGUGCCAGCAGCCGCGGUAAUAC
rnacentral:rRNA from 1 species